UGAAAAAACACUAUCUAACCACUUGGAAGAAUUCUAGAGGCAAUGCUGUGAGUUCUUAUGUUUAUUUUUUAGUUAUGUUAACGUUUUUGGCCUUCCUGGGACAUUUUGUGAAUGUUUAUUUGGAAAUUACAUGAUGAGUCUAGUUGUUGCCUUCUACAGAGGGUAGUAGUAUUUUAUCCUGCAAAUUACAUUUGAAGCUUGUCUGUGUUGUUGUCUACUCACUUUUUCCUUUCUUUUUUUUAUCUGCAUUGUUUGCAAUGGUUGUAAUUAAGUACACAGAUACUGAAUUUGUAUUGUCUUUAUUUUUAUUUUACAGUUUUCACCGCCAUGUCAUUGAAGUACAAAAGUAAACGGUCGAAUCAUAUCAAGACUCUGUCCUCUUUGACUGCGGUUUACCUUGAUGUUUAUUGACAGUCCUGUACACUGCAAGAGAACACUAAAGUGAAAAAGCAGCAUUGGAAGUUUCGAAAUGAAGUGACA